rnacentral:rRNA from 1 species
GAGAGUUUGAUCCUGGCUCAGGACGAACGCUGGCGGCGUGCCUAAUACAUGCAAGUCGAGCGGACAGAUGGGAGCUUGCUCCCUGAUGUUAGCGGCGGACGGGUGAGUAACACGUGGGUAACCUGCCUGUAAGACUGGGAUAACUCCGGGAAACCAGGGCUAAUACCGGAUGGUUGUUUGAACCGCAUGGUUCAAACAUAAAAGGUGGCUUCGGCUACCACUUACAGAUGGACCCGCGGCGCAUUAGCUAGUUGGUGAGGUAACGGCUCACCAAGGCGACGAUGCGUAGCCGACCUGAGAGGGUGAUCGGCCACACUGGGUCUGAGACACGGCCCAGACUCCUACGGGAGGCAGCAGUAGGGAAUCUUCCGCAAUGGACGAAAGUCUGACGGAGCAACGCCGCGUGAGUGAUGAAGGUUUUCGGAUCGUAAAGCUCUGUUGUUAGGGAAGAACAAGUACCGUUCGAAUAGGGCGGUACCUUGACGGUACCUAACCAGAAAGCCACGGCUAACUACGUGCCAGCAGCCGCGGUAAUACGUAGGUGGCAAGCGUUGUCCGGAAUUAUUGGGCGUAAAGGGCUCGCAGGCGGUUUCUUAAGUCUGAUGUGAAAGCCCCCGGCUCAACCGGGGAGGGUCAUUGGAAACUGGGGAACUUGAGUGCAGAAGAGGAGAGUGGAAUUCCACGUAUAGCGGUGAAAUGCGUAGAGAUGUGGAGGAACACCAGUGGCGAAGGCGACUCUCUGGUCUGUAACUGACGCUGAGGAGCGAAAGCGUGGGGAGCGAACAGGAUUAGAUACCCUGGUAGUCCACGCCGUAAACGAUGAGUGCUAAGUGUUAGGGGGUUUCCGCCCCUUAGUGCUGCAGCUAACGCAUUAAGCACUCCGCCUGGGGAGUACGGUCGCAAGACUGAAACUCAAAGGAAUUGACGGGGGCCCGCACAAGCGGUGGAGCAUGUGGUUUAAUUCGAAGCAACGCGAAGAACCUUACCAGGUCUUGACAUCCUCUGACAAUCCUAGAGAUAGGACGUCCCCUUCGGGGGCAGAGUGACAGGUGGUGCAUGGUUGUCGUCAGCUCGUGUCGUGAGAUGUUGGGUUAAGUCCCGCAACGAGCGCAACCCUUGAUCUUAGUUGCCAGCAUUCAGUUGGGCACUCUAAGGUGACUGCCGGUGACAAACCGGAGGAAGGUGGGGAUGACGUCAAAUCAUCAUGCCCCUUAUGACCUGGGCUACACACGUGCUACAAUGGACAGAACAAAGGGCAGCGAAACCGCGAGGUUAAGCCAAUCCCACAAAUCUGUUCUCAGUUCGGAUCGCAGUCUGCAACUCGACUGCGUGAAGCUGGAAUCGCUAGUAAUCGCGGAUCAGCAUGCCGCGGUGAAUACGUUCCCGGGCCUUGUACACACCGCCCGUCACACCACGAGAGUUUGUAACACCCGAAGUCGGUGAGGUAACCUUUUAGGAGCCAGCCGCCGAAGGUGGGACAGAUGAUUGGGGUGAAGUCGUAACAAGGUAGCCGUAG